UACGAGGGGGGCGAGCGUUGUUCGGAAUUAUUGGGCGUAAAGAGCUUGUAGGCGGUUUGUCGCGUCUGCUGUGAAAAUCCGGGGCUCAACCCCGGACUUGCAGUGGGUACGGGCAGACUAGAGUGUGGUAGGGGAGAUUGGAAUUCCUGGUGUAGCGGUGGAAUGCGCAGAUAUCAGGAGGAACACCGAUGGCGAAGGCAGAUCUCUGGGCCGUAACUGACGCUGAGGAGCGAAAGCAUGGGGAGCGAACAGG
rnacentral:rRNA from 1 species